rnacentral:rRNA from 1 species
AGUGAACGCUGGCGGUAGGCCUAACACAUGCAAGUCGAACGGCAGCACAGUAAGAGCUUGCUCUUACGGGUGGCGAGUGGCGGACGGGUGAGGAAUACAUCGGAAUCUACUUUUUCGUGGGGGAUAACGUAGGGAAACUUACGCUAAUACCGCAUACGACCUACGGGUGAAAGCAGGGGAUCUUCGGACCUUGCGCGAUUGAAUGAGCCGAUGUCGGAUUAGAUAGUUGGGGGGGUACAGGCCCACCAAGGCGACGAUCCGUAGCUGGUCUUAGAGGAUGAUCAGUCACAGUGGAACUGAGACACGGUCCAGACUCAUACGGGAGGCAGCAGUGGGGAAUAUUGGAAAAUGGGCGAAAGCAUGAAACAGCCAUGGGGCGGGUGGGAAGAAGGUCUUCGGAUUGUAAAGCACUUUUAGGUGGGAGGAAGGGCAGUAAGUUAAGACCUUGCUGUUUUGACGUGACCAACAGAAGAAGCAACGGCUAACUUCGUG